AACGAACGCUGGCGGCAUGCCUAACACAUGCAAGUCGAACGAGACCUUCGGGUCUAGUGGCGCACGGGUGCGUAACGCGUGGGAACCUGCCCUUAGGUUCGGAAUAACUCCCCGAAAGGGGUGCUAAUACCGGAUAAUGUUUUCGGACCAAAGAUUUAUCGCCUUUGGAUGGGCCCGCGUUGGAUUAGCUAGUUGGUAGGGUAAAAGCCUACCAAGGCGACGAUCCAUAGCUGGUCUGAGAGGAUGAUCAGCCACACUGGGACUGAGACACGGCCCAGACUCCUACGGGAGGCAGCAGUGGGGAAUAUUGGACAAUGGGCGAAAGCCUAAUCCAGCAAUGCCGCGUGAGUGAUGAAGGCCUUAGGGUUGUAAAGCUCUUUUACCCGGGAUGAUAAUGACAGUACCGGGAGAAUAAGCUCCGGCUAACUCCGUG
rnacentral:rRNA from 1 species